rnacentral:rRNA from 1 species
UACGGGGGGGGCAAGCGUUGUUCGGAAUUACUGGGCGUAAAGGGCUCGUAGGUGGCCAACUAAGUCAGACGUGAAAUCCCUCGGCUUAACCGGGGAACUGCGUCUGAUACUGGAUGGCUUGAGAUUGGGAGAGGGAUGCGGAAUUCCAGGUGUAGCGGUGAAAUGCGUAGAUAUCUGGAGGAAUACCGGUGGCGAAGGCGGCAUCCUGGACCGACAUUGACGCUGAUGAGCGAAAAGCUAGGGGAGCAAACGGGG